UUCCCAGAAUGCACCCUGCAGGUUUAAAGGUUAUCCGUGCACGCGCGCUUAUCCACAGCAACUGUAGCGUUCCUUCGGUGAGAACCUAAGACUUUUGCAUUAAAUUCUAAGCAAGACCGGUUCUGUCUGCCCAACGCACGCGCGCACACACGCACACACUGGUGCUGGUUAUCUGCCAGUAUUAACUGGCUGUUAACUGGUGUGUAUGAGCCACAGCGACGGCACAGAUCCCGCUGGAAAGACUCCUGUGCCGCCGGAGUGCUGCGGAGGACUCAGCAACGUGGAUUACUCCAAGAUGGACUUUAAGCCAAUGAAAGAAUUCUUUAAUCUCAUCAACUUUCUUGACCCCAGUUUCUGCAUUGCUGUAAUCGCCAUCGCUUUCAACCCUCUCUUCUGGAAUAUGGUGGCGAGAUGGGAGCAUCGCACGCGGAGGCUGUCCAGGCUCUUUGGCAGCUCGCACCUGGCCUGUUACUGUCUGGCCUUCGUCAUUGUACUGCUCAACGUUUACCGCAGCCACAGCAUGACGGUGGCCAUGAGGGCCCAGGCCCGGUGGCAGCUGAUGGACGGCGCCGCUGGGUUCUACGGCGGCGUGGCCUUCGUGGCGCUGGGCACGGCGCUGGUGGUCAGUAGCUUCCUCGCUCUGGGCUUCACCGGGACGUUUCUAGGUGACUACUUCGGCAUCCUGAUGGACGAGAAGGUGUCCGGCUUCCCCUUCAACCUCACAGAGAAUCCCAUGUACUGGGGCAGCACCGCCAACUAUCUCGGCUUUGCGCUCAUUACAAAGUCACGCUCUGGUGUGUUUUUCAUCACCACUCCAAUAAAUUUCCUCAAUACAAUGAAAAAUGUGGCGGUUUUGACAUUAUUUGGAUCACUGAGCAGCUAGAAACCUUGAAAACACUGUAAGUGAUCAGCUGGAUGUGUGAAUAACCAAUUUAAGAGCCUGGCUCUAGAUCUGCCUUUGUUUCUCCUGCUUCUGAACAGAGGUCCUACACAGGCUCCCUCAGCUCAGAGGCCCAGAGCUCAAAUCCAGCUCAGCAGCUUUUGCAGCCUAAUUAGUUUUCCACAGUAGAACAGUCCACUUCGAGGCCUCAGUCUCUCACGUUUCGGCCCAACAAAGACGCCGAGCGUUCAGCGAAUACACAACUGACGCGCACUAAGGUCAAGUCUCGGCACUUAGAAGAUUGUUCCAGUCUGAUGCACGACAGCGGUUCAGAGGAGGGUUAAUGGCUGCGACUGACUGUUUUUUAAAGUAAACUUCAGUCGCUUUAUUGGAAGCUGCGACCAGCCUGAGUAUCAUUGCACACGUUUGCACCUGUUUGCCCGUCAUUCUGUUUAUGGAUGUCAUAUCCAGGCUGCACCACUGCACCACCAUACGUCACAUAUACCAGAAAAAAGGAGGGGGGGGGUCAUUAGACCACAGCGAGACGUAUCUGCUCCCAUGGCCCUUAUUCUUCAAAGGUCACUCCAAUUAUUGUUUGAGGAAAUUAGUGAUGAUUGUACCCUGAUUCAAAAUCUUUCUUCUUUCCAAACAUGACACACGCUCUUUACAUUAUUUCAUGCUCAUUGUUAAUAGGUCUAGGAAGUGCAUCAGCAGGACUUUUAGAUACAAAGUGAGCUUCGCAGUGCGGAGGUUUUUAUCUAUAUACUGUAUGUUGGGCUUUUAGAUGAUGCCAUUAAGGCAACAUCUCCUCCCGACGAGGCAGGCCGAGGUCAGAAGAUCUCCGUCUGUGCCCCUUCGUGCAGGUUUGCAGUCAUUUCCUGUUGUCAUUCAGUACCAGCAUCCAUGAAGGAGGCUCAGCCCGAGGACUGCGGACGAGAGAGAACAUUACAUUGACGAAAUGAGAAAAGAUGAAAGCCGUGUCCGUGUCGUAUGCAUUCACCCCAAACUAGGUCAGUGAUUGGGAGUUCUCCUUUUCCACAACACAGGUACACACUUAGUCAUUUCCCCUGAUUGGCCUGAGCCGUGACUGUGUUGGGCCUCUAAUGUGGCCGCCUCGGUUUCCCCUCAAAAAAGCAGGUCAGGUAUCAUCUGAGGCUUGUUAGGGAGAACGCAGGCGCCGGUGAAUCACGGCAACGGACCUGGCUGGAAUGUGUGCGUUAAUGAGCGUCUGCGAGCGGGGAGAGGGUUUUUAACCCAGAUUCAGCGCCGGGACUGAACCCCGGCGUGACGCCCCGCGUCCUCACGUUAUUAGGAUGAAUGCGCUUCCCACGAAGGCGAGGCGUCGUCAAAUUAGCGGCGCGCUGCUGUCACGUGACUCAUAUAGGACUCAAAUGGCUUUGGUAAUAGAAUCAAAAUGGGUCAGUGACCCGUUCCGUUCUGUUUGGAGCAUCUGAUGGAGGUAAAGAAACUCUGCAGCCGAAAUAAUAUAGCUUUUCAAUUUUACCUGGACUCAAUAAUAAAUCCUGUUUCAAGGAUGUGAUUCUCUCGAAUAAUAGAAACGUCACUCAUUUAAAUAUUUGUAUAGAUAAACUAAUAACACUAAUUAAACAUAAUCCUGUUGUUUGUGCCUUAUUUGAAUAAGUAUGUGCCAACACAAUUAUCUUAUUAUUGUAUUGUACAGUUUGAAGGUUUACUUCAGAAUACUUCAUACAGUGGUGGACAGAAGGAGAACAGAGGAGCUAGACAUCAGAUCAAAUGGGAGGAAGGAUCUCAUGUUUCCAUGUCUUUGGAUAUGAGACAAGUGAAAGAUGCAGUGAAGGGAUUCGUACAGGACGGUGCGUUCCCUUCCCUGCCGCUCAGCUGACGUGUCACAUGACCCCGGCGCCUCCAUGCAGGUGCAGCUCCACAGUCGGCCGUCCUUGAUGAUCACCGUCCAUGAGGAGUGUGCAGGGACCUCUGUGACUCCCAGGUUCAACGCUGCCCGCAGCUUCGUUCGCCAGCUGGAGCACGGGAAUGAACGCAGCGCGACCCUCAUGCCUCCAUGUUCCAGCUUCAGCGGGCGUGAAGCGCACGCAGACGUGAUCGGUGUCAGUCGGCCGCUUCGCGUUGGCAUUACGUCGCCGUGUUUGGAGCGCUUUCUGAAAAUCCUCGUGUCUUCGAGUUGUUUUCUACAGUUGGCCGUCGUAUUUUGCAGCGUGCGACGAUCCGUGCACACAAUGACCCCGUCCCCGCUAAUAAACAGCAACAGCGGCUGCUUUCGGGAAAUGAAUAUUGAUGUCUUUGUCCCCAUCUGCUCAAUGUUCUGGUCCAAAAACGUCUGCAGCUUGAUUCACACGGACAGAACACGUGAUGCACGGUGCACAUUACUGUGUCCCAUGCAUGAGCGAUGGCCACACAGUCAAAGGACACACAUGCAAAAGCAUUUACACGACUGCACGGGGGUUGUGUGAGUCCGAUUUCCACAUCUGGAAGUCCGGGAGAAACAUGGCGGCGCCACGCGCCUCCCAGCUUUGGGUUGUCAUUGGCAGCUAUGGCCGUUUGGGAUAUGGGUCAGUGAUAAACAGCGAUUACCACACAAGGUCCAGUGAGUCACUGCGGUGUCAGAUCCGUGUGUCACAAUCAGCGGGCGCCCGCUGCAGCCGGCGCGCUGCGACAGAUUGCAGGUAAUUGGAAACGUGAACGGAAUGUUGCCGCAGCUGUUUUCCUCUGUGACACAGAAACAGCGAAGUCACGAGAGAGAGAGAGAGAGAGAGAGCGGCCCCGAAAACUUGGUAAUUAGCCCGCCGUCCUGCAGUCACACCGGACCCGAGCGUGGACUGGAGGGCAGCGUUAGCAGAAGAGGCUUGACGCCAACAGGAGCUGGUGUUCAACUUAAAGGACCUGCGUGCGUCCGAUCUGUGUCUGUGACCUGCAGAAAGGUCCACAAAGGCACUUAAAGCAACUCUCAUCACCACCUGCUUCAUCAGAUUCGCGCUGCAGCCCAUCUGAGCUAAAUUCGAGCCGCUUUUAAUAGCUCAAGGUUUGAUAUGUUGCUGCUUGGUUCCCUUUGGUCUGAUUUGGUUUUCACUCAUUAGUGUGAAACAUCUGGACAGUGGCGGGGGGCCGUCUAGCAGCUGAGGACCCAGUGAGUCUUCUAAAUGUUUUACUGCUCUGAGCUUGAGCUUGAUGCUCAUUGAGAAACAAAUAUGGUCCAUUUUUCGAAUUGAACCCUUCAUUGUAUCAGACAAGUCGCGCUCCAGCCUCCUGUGCCGUGUUUGCUCCUUUCUGGCUCCAAGGACUCUGUCAAAGUGCUGACUCUGACUCAGCGCGGUGCCUCCACCGCUGCCCGCCCAACUGGGUCACUUAUAUAAGCCUCAUCAGCAAGUCCUGUGUGGAGCUGCUCCUCCGUGCGCCGUCGUUCUCCUCGAUGUGAUUACGCUGCUUUUUUUUUUUUUCUUCUUCUUCACCAAAUGAUGGAAGGUCGCGGGGUCAGUCUCACGCGCGCAGCCGUGCGCUGAGCGCGUUGCAGACUCGGACGGAUUAAAACUCCUGGCUACGGGUUAAAACUCCGGGGCUUUUAUUUAAAGCUCCCGUCCGAGCCUUCAGCUGAGCUUCAAGCCCGGCUUCGUAUGAAAUUGUGCCCCUGCAGCUUAAAGUGAACGGCGCCAGUCCUGUUGGUGUUAUCCUGACGGCCAUAGUGGCCAUAGUUUACAAGGUGGCAAUAAGAUUUGAGGG